rnacentral:ncRNA from 2 species
CACUUAUUAAGAGAGACUGAGGGAUCAGGCCCAAUGACGUCCGGCAACCUCCAUUAUGGAACGGUGCUACUUCCUGCAGAAUGAUUCAUUCAUUCUGGAAGAUAAGUC